CAUCUAAAUGGAUACUUAUUGCCCACUGAUUGCCCUCACUCUUCUCUCCCCCGCAGCUCUCUCUUCGCUUUCUCUCUCCAUUGUCGCUCCAUGACCACCACCCCUCUCUUUCUCCCUCUGUCGCGUAAACCUAAGCAUCUCUCUCUCUCUCUCUCUCUCUCUCUCUCUCUCUCUCUCUAUGCAGUCGAUGUUAGGGUUUGUUGAGGGGGUUCUUGUAGGCCAAUCUCUGCGUCCCUCAGCUGCCCGGCUAAGGCUGUUCCUUCCACAGCUUCCGCACCAAUACCUACAAGCUUACUUUCAUGGAAUCCCCUUCUGGCAUUAAGAUUAUCUUGGUUACUCAUCCCAGGACCGGCGACUUGCGUGAAUCUUUGAAGUACAUUUACAACUUGUAUGUGGAAUAUGUCGUGAAGAACCCGCUCUACACU